rnacentral:rRNA from 1 species
AACGAACGCUGGCGGCAUGCCUAACACAUGCAAGUCGAACGAGACCUCCGGGUCUAGUGGCGCACGGGUGCGUAACGCGUGGGAACCUGCCCUUAGGUUCGGAAUAACUCCCCGAAAGGGGUGCCAAUACCGGAUAAUGUCUCCGGACCAAAGAUUUAUCGCCUUUGGAUGGGCCCGAGUUGGCUUAGCUAGUUGGUAGGGUAAAAGCCUACCAAGGCGACGAUCCAUAGCUGGUCUGAGAGGAUGCGCAGCCACACUGGGACUGAGACACGGCCCAGACUCCUACGGGAGGCAGCAGUGGGGAAUAUUGGACAAUGGGCGAAAGCCUGAUCCAGCAAUGCCGCGUGAGUGAUGAAGGCCUUAGGGUUGUAAAGCGCUUUUACCCGGGAUGAUAAUGACAGUACCGGGAGAAUAAGCUCCGGCUAACUCCGUG